rnacentral:lncRNA from 1 species
UAUCGUUAUGUACAAGUCCUCACUUGUUGUCAAAUGUUUUGUCGUUUUUUUGUAUAAUCAGGAAUGCCUCUAAACUCGAAACUUUGCGUAUUAAGCUCUUUGAUGAUUCCACUCAAGACGAUGAAGUUGAUAAUGAUUUUCUAAAUGGACAGUGGACUGAUGACUUAUUCUCCAAUCUUAAAAGUGUUUACGUGAGAAAUAUGACGUGCAAGUUAAGUGAGAUGCAUUUUAUUGAGUUUAUUUUGUCAAAGGCAAGAAAUCUUGAAAAAAAUGAUGUCUGCCUAGCUGAAGAUUGUUCGAAAUCUAAUGAAGAGGCAGUUAUAGAACUUGCAAAAUAA